rnacentral:misc_RNA from 1 species
GCUGGUCAUGAUGAGAAUGGUCCCAGCUUGUACUAUACUGAUCCUUCUGGUACAUUCUGGCAAUGCAAUGCUAAAGCUAUUGGGUCAGGUUCUGAAGGUGCUGAUAGCUCUUUGCAGGAGCAGUAUAACAAGGACCUUACCCUUAAAGAGGCUGAAACCAUAGCACUGUCCAUUCUCAAGCAAGUGAUGGAAGAGAAGGUGACUCCCAAUAAUGUUGAUAUUGCGAGGGUAUCUCCAACUUACCAUCUAUACUCACCAUCGGAGGUGGAAGAGGUUAUCAGCCGCCUAUAAGAAAGCAUGUGAUCACGCUCGUUAUGAUAUUUUUCUUGUAUGACAAAAACACUUUCUUGUUGCUGCAGCCCUGGAGCCUGGAGGUCAUUGGAUUGUUUUUUCCUUCUUCCAAGGCUAGGAAUUGAUUCAGACAAGUGUUUUCUGUAUGUUCAUUACAUUAUUUGCUUCAAGGAUUUAAGUCCAUCUAUAUCUCUUGCUGCUUUAUGAGUUGGGAUUUGUUCUGAAAAUAGGAGUUUUAAAGUGUUUUGAAAGCAAGAGGCAAGUACGAUACUGUGUAGGAUUAUAUAAAUAGGGGUUUACAUUUUCUUGAAUGAAAUAUUUCCA